AUUCAUUGUGACGUCGCUCCGGACACGCUUGGGUAGUAAAUGAUUCGCGAGACAUAUUUCAAAUAUGGUGCUACCUAAAAAGCCAAUACAAUAACAUCACAUUGAAAUAGCUUUUAUUGAAGACAGAGGAACUAACAUAAUCUCUUUGCAAACUUAAUCUCAUCUGGCACAUAUUACACAACAAAAACAUAAAAGCAAAAAGCAGUUGUC